ACGGGUGCGUAACGCGUAUGCAAUCUACCUUUUACAGAGGGAUAGCCCAGAGAAAUUUGGAUUAAUACCUCAUAGUAUUACGAAAUGGCAUCAUUUUGUAAUUAAAGUCACAACGGUAAAAGAUGAGCAUGCGUCCCAUUAGCUAGUUGGUAAGGUAACGGCUUACCAAGGCUACGAUGGGUAGGGGUCCUGAGAGGGAGAUCCCCCACACUGGUACUGAGACACGGACCAGACUCCUACGGGAGGCAGCAGUGAGGAAUAUUGGACAAUGGGCGCAAGCCUGAUCCAGCCAUGCCGCGUGCAGGAUGACGGUCCUAUGGAUUGUAAACUGCUUUUAUACGAGAAGAAACACUCCGACGUGUCGGAGCUUGACGGUAUCGUAAGAAUAAGGAUCGGCUAACUCCGUGCCAGCAGCCGCGGUAAUACGGAGGAUCCAAGCGUUAUCCGGAAUCAUUGGGUUUAAAGGGUCCGUAGGCGGUUUAAUAAGUCAGUGGUGAAAGCCCAUCGCUCAACGGUGGAACGGCCAUUGAUACUGUUAAACUUGAAUUAUUAGGAAGUAACUAGAAUAUGUAGUGUAGCGGUGAAAUGCUUAGAGAUUACAUGGAAUACCAAUUGCGAAGGCAGGUUACUACUAAUGGAUUGACGCUGAUGGACGAAAGCGUGGGUAGCGAACAGGAUUUGAUACCCUGGUAGUCCACGCCGUAAACGAUGGAUACUAGCUGUUGGAAGCAAUUUCAGUGGCUAAGCGAAAGUGAUAA
rnacentral:rRNA from 1 species